rnacentral:rRNA from 1 species
UUGCAUUUCAUAAGCGGAGGAAAAGAAACUAACAAGGAUUCCCCUAGUAACGGCGAGUGAAGAGGGAAGAGCUCAAAUUUGAAAGCUGGUACCUUCGGUAUCCGCGUUGUAACCUCGAGACACGUUUUCCGUGCGGCGCUAUGGACAAGUUCCUUGGAACAGGACAUCGUAGAGGGUGAAAAUCCCGUACUUGCCAUGGAUGUACCGUGCUUUGCGAUACGUGCUCUAAGAGUCGAGUUGUUUGGGAUUGCAGCUCAAAAUGGGUGGUAGACUCCAUCUAAAGCUAAAUAUCGGGGAGAGACCGAUAGCGAACAAGUACCGUGAGGGAAAGAUGAAAAGCACUUUGGAAAGAGAGUUAAAAGUACGUGAAAUUGUCGAAAGGGAAGCGCUUGAAGUCAGCCAUGCCGCUCAGGACUCAGCCUGGCUUUUGCUUGGUGUAUUUCCUGGGUAGCAAGUCAGCAUUGGUUUGGAUCGUCGGAGAAGCAUAGUCGGAAUGUGGCGCCCUCGGGCGUGUUAUAGCCUUCUAUUGGAUACGACGAUCUAGACCAAGGAACGCAGCGCGCCUUAUGGCGGGUCUUCGGACACCUUCGCGCUUAGGAUGCUGGCGUAAUGGCUUUAAGUGGCCCGUCUUGAACAGGGACCAAU